rnacentral:misc_RNA from 1 species
CAGAGUCGUAAAAAACUCCCAACCCAUGUGAACUUACCUUUGUUGCCUCGGCAGGGCCUACCCUGUAGCCUGCCGGUGGACUACUCAACUCUUGUUAUUUUACGGAAAUCUGAGCGUCUUAUUAAAUAAGUCA